rnacentral:tRNA from 1 species
GUCCCUGGGUGUACAAACAGUUAAUGUUUUUGACUGCUAAUCAAAAGACUGGCGGUUUGAGUCCACCCAGAGACU